GCCUACUGCUUAAUUUUGAAAGUUCUUUAUGAACUUCAUAUUUGGGGGUGUAGCUCAGUUGGGAGAGCACUUGCCUUGCAAGCAAGGGGUCAGGAGUUCGACUCUCCUCAUCUCCACCAUUUAAGAGCAUAUUACUUAAGUCUUUGAUUUAUCUAGUAGUCUCUUACAUUGCACUUUAAGCUUAAAUUUAUACAGCUUUGUGCGUUAGCACUUUGAAAACUGCAUAUAUAUUUAGUGAUAUGACAUCUAAUUUGUAAUAUAUAAAGUUGAUAACUUUUUAAAAUUAUCGAAGUUGAUAGCUUCUAAUCUAUCAAACCUUUUUAACUGGUCAA
rnacentral:tRNA from 1 species